rnacentral:rRNA from 1 species
GAUGAACGCUGGCGGCGUGCCUAAUACAUGCGAGUCGAGCGAACGGACGAGAAGCUUGCUUUUCUGAUGUUAGCGGCGGACGGGUGAGUAACACGUGGAUAACCUACCUAUAAGACUGGGAUAACUUCGGGAAACCGGAGCUAAUACCGGAUAAUAUUUUGAACCGCAUGGUUCAAAAGUGAAAGACGGUCUUGCUGUCACUUAUAGAUGGAUCCGCGCUGCAUUAGCUAGUUGGUAAGGUAACGGCUUACCAAGGCAACGAUGCAUAGCCGACCUGAGAGGGUGAUCGGCCACACUGGAACUGAGACAUGGUCCAGACUCCUACGGGAGGCAGCAGUAGGGAAUCUUCCGCAAUGGGCGAAAGCCUGACGGAGCAACGCCGCGUGAGUGAUGAAGGUCUUCGGAUCGUAAAACUCUGUUAUUAGGGAAGAACAUAUGUGUAAGUAACUGUGCACAUCUUGACGGUACCUAAUCAGAAAGCCACGGCUAACUACGUG